CAGCCGCCGCGGGAAUACGUAGGUGGCAAGCGUUGUCCGGAAUUAUUGGGCGUAAAGCGUGCGCAGGCGGUCUGUUAAGACAGAUGUGAAAUCCCCGGGCUCAACCUGGGAACUGCAUUUGUGACUGGCAAGCUAGAGUCUGGCAGAGGGGGGCGGAAUUCCGCGUGUAGCAGUGAAAUGCGUAGAUAUGCGGAGGAACACCGAUGGCGAAGGCAGCCCCCUGGGCCAACACUGACGCUCAUGCACGAAAGCGUGGGGAGCAAACAGGAUUAGAUACCCGUGUAGUCCCUGUCUCUUAUAC
rnacentral:rRNA from 1 species